GAAGCGAAGCAGCGAUGUGAAGCAAAUCGCACCAAAGCCGGUCCCAGUUCGGAUAAGAGGCUGAAACUCGCCUCUUUGAAGUCGGAAUCGCUAGUAAUCGCAGAUCAGCAUGUUGCGGUGAAUACGUUUCCUGGUCUUGUACACACCGCCCGUCAAACCAUGAGAGUCGCCAACACCCGAAGUCCGCUUUGCGGCCUAAGGUGGGGGAGAUGAUUGGGGUUAAGUCGUAACAAGGUAAC
rnacentral:rRNA from 1 species